UUAAAUUCAAGUCCACUAACAAGAUGCACAUUAUCAAUAUUGACCUUACCAUUACUGAUUUUACCUUUACCGAUAAUUUUGCAAGUACGAUUAUCUCCAAAUGUAACCUUUCCAUUUUUCUUCUUGAUUUUUAAUUCCACGAACUUUGAUUUGUCACCAGUCAUGUAACGAAAACAUCCACUAUCAAGAAUCCAUUUUUGGGAUGGAACCCUUGCCUUGAGACAUACCUAUCAAGAAAAGAUAAUUCAUCCUUUUGGUACCCACAUCUUUUUUGGGUCCUUUAAUGUUAGUUGCACGUAAAUUAUCCUUUUUAACCCAUACCUUUUUAAUCUUAUUUUUCUUAAAACAGUUUAUGUCCAAGUGACCUUUAAUACCACAAUUUCUACAUGUUGUGAAAGGAGAACAAUAAUUCAAUCUAAAACGUGAUUUUAAUUUUAGCAUUUUUAUAUCUCCCUAUUUUAUGCAUAGGAUUAUAACUAAUUCUCUGUCUUUCAAAACUAGGUCUUUAUUUACCUAAUAUGACAUUUAUGUUUUCUUCUCCUUGAACGAAUUUAGUAAGAGAUAAUAAUCUAUUUCCUUUUUAAGUUCAUUAGUAGGAAUAGUUUUACAAGGAGAACCAUUAAUAAAUGCAUCAAUACAUACAUCUCUCAUUUUUAGUUCAUUAGUCAAUUUUUGAACUUCAUUAUUCAAAUGAUUUACCUUAUUAAAAAGUAUUUUGUUAUAAUUAUCUAAAUAAUCAUUCUUAGCAAUCAAAAUCUUUUCUUCUUUACAUGAAGACUAUUUUUCAAUAUCUUUCUUUUCAUCUAUCAAAGAAUCAACUUCACUCAUUAAUGUAUUUACCAAGUCUUUCAAAUAUGCAUUCUUUUCUUUUAAUUUUUCAUUUUCUUAUUUCAAAGAAUUAAACUCAUAACUAGAUACCUCGUUUGAUUCACCUUCUAUUCCUAUAAAGCAUAC
rnacentral:lncRNA from 1 species